rnacentral:rRNA from 1 species
CGUAAGUUGACCUGCCGAAGGAUCCAUGUUGAGAGAGCAUAUAAGACGGAUGACUGCGAAUGUGUGAAUGUGUCCCUUUCCUCGCCCACACCCCCCAUGUGUCGGUGGCGGGCGAUUGACCGUAGCUCGGUGCGAUCGGCACUAAGGAACAAAUGAACUCGGAAGCGGAGGGCCCCCUUGGCGUGCACAGGGGAGCCCAAUGCGUCGGAGAUUCCUCGGAAUCAAACGACUCUCGGCAAUGGAUAUCUCGGCUCUUGCAUCGAUGAAGAACGUAGUGAAAUGCGAUACUUGGUGUGAAUUGCAGAAUCUCGUGAACCAUUGAGUCUUUGAACGCAAGUUGUGCCCGAGGCCUUGUGGCCGAGGGCACGCCUGCUUGGGUGUCAUGGCAUCGUCGCCUCUGCUCCAUGCGCCGUUAUAGUCGGUUGGUGGUGCCGAGCGCGGAAAUUGGCCCCGUGUGCCCUCGGGCACAGUCGGCCGAAGAGCGGGUAGUCGGCAGUCGUCGGGCACGAUGGGUGUUGGUCGCCGUGAGCGGGAACAGAACGUCGUCCCCGUCGUUUUCGGACGAGCCCUCAAGAGACCCUGCGUGAUUGUGUGGCACCGGGCGAAAGAAAGAAAGCGCCGUGUCCACCAUCAACUUGUGGCCCCAAUUCAGGCAAGGCCACCGCCCAAAUUAAACCUUAUC